UUUUUUGUUGGGUUUUAGAGUUGUUGAAUUCAGUUAAAUAUUUGAUUGAAAUGGCGGUGGCUACAUGCUUGAGGCCCAUAGCCCGAAGAAACAAAGCUUAUAGAGGACAGAUAAAAGCUCAGAUUUUUGAGAGCUUGGCUGUGGCCCUUGUUGCUAUUGCCUCUAAAGCUGGGGAAGCUCUCACUAAAGUCAAACUCGAAGCUGGCGGCGGCGCUGGUGGCGGAGGCGGCGGCGGAGCUGGUGGUGGAGGGGACAAUGAGAAGGCUGGUAGCGGCAGCGACUAAGACAGCACCACCUCUUGGGCUGCAAGCCCGGUGGUGGAGAGGUGGUGCUAAAGUGUGUGUGUGCGUGUAAGUGUGACCCCACAGUCUGAUGUUUAUAUAGUGUGAUGGUGCCCUUUUUUCAGUGUAAGAUAUUCAUGUGUGCAUAAAUAAAUGAAAGGGCAGAUGAGUGUGGGGUAGAAUGUAGAUGUUCUUCUUUCUGUGUGAUUUUAAAUGUCAGAUGUGAGUAGGGUUUGUCUUGUAUGAUAUUUUUCAGCUCUAUUUGGCCAUGUGCUAUGUAAAAUAUUUUGUUGGGUGAAUCACAAAAUUUCAUUUCUCUACAUUUCGUCUGAUCGAACCUCUCUCUCACAGUUUUUAUGCUUUAUUUUCUCU
rnacentral:lncRNA from 1 species